CCCAAACUCUUGAGAGCUGCUGAGCACAGGAAUGGGGGCUCUCAAGCAGAACAUCCCAGGCUGGACCAUAAACCUUCCUGGUGUGAGGAAGGGUUUUAGUUCUGGAGCCCCUGGAUGGGCUGUGGUUCCUCCAUAUCCAACAGGACACCUCCUGGAGCCACCUGAGAGGAACAUCCCUGGUCACAUCCCAGAAGUGACUCAUCAUUCCCAGAGGAAAUGCAGUGGCAGGGGUGAUUUUCUGAGGCCCCCAGGUGUUCUGUCCAGCUUCAAACCAAGGUCAAUCUUCCUUAAUUCUGACUGGGAAACUGGACCAAGAAGGAAAUCACACCUGCAUCUCUCUCCCACCCUGGAAGUGGUGCCUCCCACCCACUGGACCUGCUCCAGCAGGAUAAUAAAACCCUGGAUGGCAUCAGGAAGGGGACCAGGGUGCUUUUCCUCCUGGUCUUUUGCUCUGCCAGCACUUCUGAAAUCAAGUGGAAGUGCUGAGGAGCAGCUUCUGAAGAAGCCAAAGCUCGUUUUUCAUCUCAAGCACAGCCAAGUUAUUAAACUUUUUUUUGUUGCAGACAGGGUGGAUUCUAAAAGGGUUUGAAGGUUUGAAAAGGGUUUAAAGGUUUGAAAGUGGUUUAAAGGUUUGAAAGUGGUUUAAAGGUUUGAAAAGGGUUUAAAGGUUUGAAAAGGGUUUAAAGGUUUGAAAGUGGUUUAAAGGUUUGAAAGUGGUUUAAAGGUUUGAAAAGGGUUUAAAGGUUUGAAAGUGGUUUAAAGGUUUGAAAGUGGUUUAAAGGUUUGAAAGUGGUUUAAAGGUUUGAAAAGGGUUUAAAGGUUUGAAAGUGGUUUAAAGGUUUGAAAGUGGUUUAAAGGUUUGAAAAGGGUUUAAAGGGUUAAAGGGCUUUAAAGGGUUCCAAGAGGUGGACAAACACAGGGAAGCCAAAAAUGCUGCAGUGCUGAUAAACAGACACCACAUCCAGCUUAGGAAGCUCCUGGGAUGGAGAUUUUCAUCCUGUGCUCCUCUUAUUCCUGCAGUUUUCCGGAGGUACCUGUUUCUGGCCACUGGCAGAGAGAAGAGAGCCUUCUUCAGUUUGUGGGGUUGAUUUACAUCAAGUGGCUCGAGCAGAAUUCCCACAUCCUCCAUCACGUCCCUAGACAGACAUUCCUGCUUCAGAGGAUCCAUUGGAUGCUGUCAGGGAACGUUCAGCAAAGUCUCCCAGAAUCCCAGCCUGGUUUGGGUGGGAAGGGACCUUGGAGAUCAUCUCAUUCCAACCUUCUCCUUCCA
rnacentral:lncRNA from 1 species